rnacentral:rRNA from 1 species
GUAGGGAAUAUUGGGCAAUGGAUGCAAGUCUGACCCAGCCAUCCCGCGUGCCGGAAGAAGGCCCUCAGGGUUGUAAACGGCUUUUGACGGUGAAGAAUCGACAGGAUGCGUCCUGUUUUGACGGUAGCCGUUGAAUAAGCACCGGCUAACUCCGUGCCAGCAGCCGCGGUAAUACGGAGGGUGCGAGCGUUGUCCGGAUUUAUUGGGUUUAAAGGGUGCGGAGGCUGGAAGGUCAGUCAGCGGUGAAAAGCUGUCGCUUAACGAUAGUCUUGCCGCAGAUACUUCCUUUCUUGGAUGAGGAGGAGGCCACUGGAACGGAUGGUGUAGCGGUGAAAUGCAUAGAUAUCAUCCAGAACACCGAUUGCGAAGGCAGGUGGCUGUACCUUAAUCGACGCUGAUGCACGAAAGCAUGGGGAGCAAACAGGAUUAGAAACCCUGGUAGUCC